AUGGCGAUCAUCCUGCUGCUCUUGCUCAGCUGCCUCACGCCGUUCCAGGAGGCGGCCGCCGAUGCGUUCUGCGACAACGUUAAGGUCCUCGCCGCCACCCUCCCCAACAAAACCUCCUCCUCCCCGGUACACUUCGCCACCGCCACCGUCGGCCAAGCCCCUGACAUCGUCUACGCGCUCGCGCUCUGCCGUGGUGACAUUCUCAACGACACCGCAUGCGCCCAGAGCGUCGCCAAGACGUUCGACUUGGUGCGGAACGCCACGCCACCGGACCUGGGGUGCUACCCGGCGGUCUCCUACUAUACCGAUUCUAUCCUCCUCUACAGCUUCAACGACAUCCUUGCUCCCUCGAUAUACACCAAUAGUACGGGAGAUGAAAACGGUGGCAACCCUCCCUUUGAGAGGUGGAACGUCAAGAACGUCACCGGCGACGUGCCCCUCGUCGCCGGCCUCAUCCGCGAGCUGCUGGUGGAGACCGUGGAGAAGGCGGCCAGCGCGACGCCGAGGCGGUUCGCCACGGGCGUCAUGGACAGCGGCACGACCUUCCCAAUGGUGUACUCGUUGGCGCAGUGCACGCCGGACCUGUCCACCGGGGACUGCCUGGCAUGCCUGAAUCAUCUCCUCGGCUUGAUCAACUCCACCAUGUCCCUGCGCAUGGGAGGACAGAUGGGCGUCAUACGGUGCUACUUCAGGUAUGAGGCGUCUCCGUUCUACCAAGGCCAGCCUAUGAUAAGCCUCGGGCCGCCGGCUCCGACUCCAACCGAACACAAGAGGCAAGCUUACUGA
rnacentral:rRNA from 1 species